rnacentral:lncRNA from 1 species
CAAAUAUCGCUGGGCGAUUCUAAAGUGCAUUAAAAUGUAAAAUAUUCAACAAUAUGGCUUAACCACCGAAUCUCACGGCCCGAGAAGUGCAGCAGGUAUUUGCAGAGAUUCUCAGCCAUGGCGAGGACAUCACCUGGGAUCUGUGAGUGCCCGCCCAAAAAUCCUUUGUUCCUCACUUAAAAUCUAUAGAUGGCCAAUCCCUGACCUAACAGAUUGCUGCAGAAUCAACGAGACAUUCUGAAAAGGAAAGUUCGAGAAAUAUUUAAUCAGAGACAUAAAUAAUUCUGGACAACGUUUGGACUCUACGUAAGCAGACUCCGCGAAACAGCAGCUCCGUCACUAAUCCAGACGUACAUACAUAACUUUAGGUAAAUGCGCCAACGGCCAGUCCCUUUCUGCGUUGUUCUUUGCGGUUAUUGUGAAUGGAGUGACCGACUUGAAGGAGGCAGAUAAUAGCAGAUCACCCAGUUUUCCGCUGCCGUCGCUGCGAUG